rnacentral:rRNA from 1 species
GAGUUUGAUCUUGGCUCAGGAUGAACGCUGGCGGCGUGCCUAAUACAUGCAAGUCGAACGGGAAGCUAGAUUCGUCUGGCGGAGAGUGGCGGACGGGUGAGUAACACGUAGAUGACCUGCCUCGAAGAAGGGGACAACCCGCCGAAAGGCGAGCUAAUACCCUAUAAGCCCACGGUGCUCAGAAAGCUGUGGGAAAAGCUCCGACGCUUCGAGAGGGGUCUGCGGGCUAUCAGGUAGUUGGUGGGGUAAUGGCUCACCAAGCCAGUGACAGCUAGGGGGCCUGAGAGGGUGACCCCCCACACGGGAACUGAGAAACGGUCCCGACUCCUACGGGAGGCAGCAGUAAGGGAUAUUGCACAAUGGGCGCAAGCCUGAUGCAGCAACGCCGCGUGCCCGAUGAAGGCCUUCGGGUCGUAAAGGGCUUUUCUGGCUGACGAGACGGACUGUAAGCCAGGAAUAAGUGUCGGCUAACUACGUGCCAGCCGCCGCCGUAAG